AUUGAACGCUGGCGGCAUGCCUUACACAUGCAAGUCGAACGGCAGCACGGGUGCUUGCACCUGGUGGCGAGUGGCGAACGGGUGAGUAAUGCAUCGGAACAUGUCCUGUAGUGGGGGAUAGCCCGGCGAAAGCCGGAUUAAUACCGCAUACGAUCUACGGAUGAAAGCGGGGGACCUUCGGGCCUCGCGCUAUAGGGUUGGCCGAUGGCUGAUUAGCUAGUUGGUGGGGUAAAGGCCUACCAAGGCGACGAUCAGUAGCUGGUCUGAGAGGACGACCAGCCACACUGGGACUGAGACACGGCCCAGACUCCUACGGGAGGCAGCAGUGGGGAAUUUUGGACAAUGGGCGAAAGCCUGAUCCAGCAAUGCCGCGUGUGUGAAGAAGGCCUUCGGGUUGUAAAGCACUUUUGUCCGGGAAGAAAUCCUUUGCCCUAAUACGGUCGGGGGAUGACGGUACCGGAAGAAUAAGCACCGGCUAACUACGUG
rnacentral:rRNA from 1 species